rnacentral:rRNA from 1 species
GACGAACGCUGGCGGCGUGCUUAACACAUGCAAGUCGAACGGAAAGGCCCUGCUUUUGUGGGGUGCUCGAGUGGCGAACGGGUGAGUAACACGUGAGUAACCUGCCCUUGACUUUGGGAUAACUUCAGGAAACUGGGGCUAAUACCGGAUAGGAGCUCCUGCUGCAUGGUGGGGGUUGGAAAGUUUCGGCGGUUGGGGAUGGACUCGCGGCUUAUCAGCUUGUUGGUGGGGUAGCGGCUUACCAAGGCUUUGACGGGUGGCCGGCCUGAGAGGGUGACCGGCCACAUUGGGACUGAGAUACGGCCCAGACUCCUACGGGAGGCAGCAGUGGGGAAUAUUGCACAAUGGGCGGAAGCCUGAUGCAGCAACGCCGCGUGCGGGAUGACGGCCUUCGGGGUGUAAACCGCUUUCGCCUGUGACGAAGCGUGAGUGACGGUAAUGGGUAAAGAAGCACCGGCUAACUACGUG